rnacentral:rRNA from 1 species
UACGUAGGGUGCAAGCGUUAAUCGGAAUUACUGGGCGUAAAGCGUGCGCAGGCGGUUUUGUAAGUCUGACGUGAAAUCCCCGGGCUCAACCUGGGAAUUGCGUUGGAGACUGCAAGGCUAGAAUCUGGCAGAGGGGGGUAGAAUUCCACGUGUAGCAGUGAAAUGCGUAGAGAUGUGGAGGAACACCGAUGGCGAAGGCAGCCCCCUGGGUCAAGAUUGACGCUCAUGCACGAAAGCGU